rnacentral:rRNA from 1 species
GACGAACGCUGGCGGCGUGCCUAAUACAUGCAAGUCGAGCGGACGAAUCGAAAGCUUGCUUUUGAUUCGUUAGCGGCGGACGGGUGAGUAACACGUGGGCAACCUGCCCUGUAGACGGGGAUAACACCGAGAAAGCGGUUCUAAUACCGGAUAACACGAAAUGUCGCAUGACGCUUCGUUGAAAGACGGCGCAGGCUGUCGCUACAGGAUGUGCCCGCGUCGCAUUAGCUAGUUGGUGAGGUAACGGCUCACCAAGGCGACGAUGCGUAGCCGACCUGAGAGGGUGAUCGGCCACACUGGAACUGAGACACGGCCCAGACUCCUACGGGAGGCAGCAGUAGGGAAUCUUCCGCAAUGGGCGAAAGUCUGACGGAGCAACGCCGCGUGAGCGAAGAAGGCCUUCGGGUCGUAAAGCUCUGUUGGUAGGGAAGAACAAGUAACGCAGUAACUGGCGUUACCGUGACGGUACCUAAAGAGAAAGCCACGGCUAACUACGUG